CCGGGGGAGGGCGGGGCCUGGCGGGGCGGGGCCGCACCUGGGGCGGGCGGGGGCGCGCAGUGCGGCGGCGGCGGCCAUGGCGGGAGCGGCGCGGCGGGGCGGCCCCGGGCCCCGGCCCCGGGUCCUGCUGCUGCUGUUGCUGCUCGGGGUGGCGGCCGCCUCCGCGAUGGGAGCCCAGGUCACCUCCGAGGACAAACAAGUGCCUGAAAACACCCCCACCGACAUCCCCUGCUUGGCGUAUCGCUCCGGCUGGAACAACCCCCGCAUCGAGUGGAAAUUCCAGAAGGGCUCCUCGCUCGUCCUCUUCUACUACGGGGGACAGCUGACAGAUCCCUACAAGGACCGGGUCCGGUUUUCCCCCACCAGCAUCCACUUCGGCACGGUGACGCGGGAGGACACGGGGAAGUACAUCUGCGAGGUGGUGGGGGACGGCAGCCAGAUCGCCAAGUCCGAGGUCAACCUCAUCGUCCAAGUCCCCCCCUCGAAGCCGCUGGCCCACGUCCCCACCUCGGCCACCAUCGGCAGCAAGACCGUGCUGCGCUGCACCGAGACGGACGGCUCGCCGCCCCCCACCUUCCUCUGGUACCGCGACAGCAUGUUGAUGCCCGCCGACCCCAAAACCAGCCCCACCUUCCGAAAUUCCUCCUACACCCUGGACUCCGCCACGGGGGAACUGAUCUUCGAGCCCCUCAGCAGCUUCGACACCGGCGACUACUACUGCGAGGCCACCAACAACGUGGGCGCCCCCCAGAAAUCGGACGUUUUCCGCAUGGAAGCCAGCGAAGUCAACGUCGGCGGCAUCGUGGCCGCCGUCGUGGUGCUGCUGAUGGUGCUGGGGCUCGCGGCCUUCGGCGUCUGGUUUGCCUACAGCCGGGGAUUCUUCAGCAAGAGAAAAGAGUAAGUGAAGCCGUGACGCUGCUGCCUCCCUCCCGGCGGCCUCCUCUUCCUCCGCCGGUGGGGACGGGUGGUCUCUUCCCCCGCCACCGCCAACAACGGGCUGGGAAGGUGCCUGGAGUGUCACCGGGCGCUCAGGGUGGGGGACAAGGUUGACGGGGCUGGGGGUGAUGGUGGUGGUGGUGGUUGGGGGGGGGUGGGGGGGAGAACUCCGGGCAACGUGACGUCUCUCCCGAUGUUCCCGCUUUCCGCAGCGCCGCCGGCAAGAAGGUGAUUUACAGCCAGCCCUCGCACCGCAGCGAAGGAGAGUUCAAGCAGACGUCCUCCUUCCUGGUGUGAAGCUCCGGCCGUGCCACCGGCUCCUGUAAAUGUUCCCCAAUUACUGUAGCUACGCCGUGAUUUUUAAUUGUUAUUUUUUUGGUUUUUUGGGGUUUUUUUAAGUAUCACCCGGUGCCUUUGCAGUCA